rnacentral:rRNA from 1 species
UACAGAGGGGGCAAGCGUUGUUCGGAAUUACUGGGCGUAAAGGGCGCGUAGGCGGCCUUCUAAGUCGAACGUGAAAUCCCCGGGCUCAACCCGGGAACUGCGUCCGAUACUGGAAGGCUUGAAUCCGGGAGAGGGAUGUAGAAUUCCAGGUGUAGCGGUGAAAUGCGUAGAUAUCUGGAGGAAUACCGGUGGCGAAGGCGGCAUCCUGGACCGACAUUGACGCUGAGGCGCGAAAGCUAGGGUAGCAAACGGG